UCUUUGGUAAUACCGCCAUAAAAAAAACUGAUUGACGUGUUAUUAUUUUGCGGUACGUGGAUUGCAAUAAAAAUAUUAAAUUCGUAUUACAUACUGCUAAUUUAUAUCAGUACAGUAAACGAACUAAUCCAGUAAUAUGAUCUCCGACAUUCAGUUAGCUGUGUUCUCCAACAUCCUGGGUGUAUCCAUCUUUCUGCUGGUCAUCCUCUACCAUUAUAUCAACGCAAAUAGUUCUAAAUAAAUAUGUGCACAACUAUUAACAUUUUUUAUUCUACACAACAUUCUGCAAUUUACUUUAAGAUGUAAAUAAAAUCGCCUUAUAA